GAUGAACGCUGGCGGCGUGCCUAAUACAUGCAAGUCGAGCGAACGGACGAGAAGCUUGCUUCUCUGAUGUUAGCGGCGGACGGGUGAGUAACACGUGGAUAACCUACCUAUAAGACUGGGAUAACUUCGGGAAACCGGAGCUAAUACCGGAUAAUAUUUUGAACCGCAUGGUUCAAAAGUGAAAGACGGUCUUGCUGUCACUUAUAGAUGUAUCCGCGCUGCAUUAGCUAGUUGGUAAGGUAACGGUUUACCAAGGCAACGAUGCAUAGCCGACGUGAGAGGGUGAUCGGCCACACUGGAACUGAGACACGGUCAAGACUCCUACGGGAGGCAGCAGUAGGGAAUAGUCCGCAAUGGGCGAAAGCAGGACGGAGCAAAGCCGCGUGAGUGAUGAAGGUCUUCGGAUCGUAAAACUCUGUUAUUAGGGAAGAACAUAUGUGUAAGUAACUGUGCACAUCUUGACGGUACCUAAUCAGAAAGCAACGGCUAACUACGUG
rnacentral:rRNA from 1 species